rnacentral:misc_RNA from 1 species
GCCACAAUUCUUCCCAUAUUUUUUUGUUCCUCAUUUUCAGCUCUUCUAUCUGAUAGCCCACUUGGACGGCAGUCCCUAUGGAGGGGCCUGUCAACCAUGGACUGCAAGAAAAGGAAGAACCUCUGAAAGAAAGACUUCAGCAGCUCCACUAACAUCUUUGGGGUGCUCAAUAGCAACAGCCUUUAGAAUGCGCGAGUCAACCUAUGCACAUUGGAACCAAAAGAGAUGGCUUUGCUCAGAAAUAAGAACUGUGGAAACAGCUCCAUCAAGGUUCG